UACGGGGGGGGGCAAGCGUUGUUCGGAAUUACUGGGCGUAAAGGCUCGUAGGCGGCCAACUAAGUCGGAUGUGAAAUCCCCAGGCUUAACCUGGGAACUGCAUCCGAUACUGGAUGGCUUGAAUCCGGGAGAGGGAUGCAGAGUUCCAGGUGUAGCGGUGAAAUGCGUAGAUAUCUGGAGGAAUACCGGUGGCGAAGGCGGCAUCCUGGACCGGCAUUGACGCUGAGGAGCGAAAGCUAGGGGAGCAAACGGG
rnacentral:rRNA from 1 species